UACAGAGGAGCCAAGCGUUGUCCGGAUUGACUGGGCGUAAAGCGCACGCAGGCGGGUGGGCGCGUGGGGUGUGAAAUCUGGCCGCUUAACGGCCAGGCGCCAUCCCAUACGGCGCGCCUGGAGGGCUGCAGAGGUCGAUGGAAUUGCCGGUGUAGUGGUGAAAUGCGUAGAGAUCGGCAGGAACACCCAGGGGGAAACCAGUCGACUGGGCAGCACCUGACGCUGAGGUGCGAGAGCGUGGGGAGCGAACCGG
rnacentral:rRNA from 1 species